rnacentral:rRNA from 1 species
CCUACGGGAGGCAGCAGUGAGGAAUAUUGGUCAAUGGACGCAAGUCUGAACCAGCCAAGCCGCGUGCAGGAUGACGGCUCUAUGAGUUGUAAACUGCUUUUGUACGAGGGUAAACCCCGAUACGUGUAUCGGGUUGAAAGUAUCGUACGAAUAAGGAUCGGCUAACUCCGUGCCAGCAGCCGCGGUAAUACGGAGGAUCCGAGCGUUAUCCGGAUUUAUUGGGUUUAAAGGGUGCGUAGGCGGUUUGAUAAGUUAGAGGUGAAAUGUCGGGGCUCAACCCCGAAACUGCCUCUAAUACUGUUAGACUAGAGAAUAGUUGCGGUAGGCGGAAUGUAUGGUGUAGCGGUGAAAUGCUUAGAGAUCAUACAGAACACCGAUUGCGAAGGCAGCUUACCAAACUAUAACUGACGUUGAGGCACGAAAGCGUGGGUAGCAAACAGGAUUAGAUACCCCAGUAGUC